AUUGAACGCUGGCGGCAGGCCUAACACCUGCAAGUCGAGCGGAGCGGCGGACGGGUGAGUAAUGCCUAGGAAUCUGCCUGGUAGUGGGGGAUAACGUCCGGAAACGGGCGCUAAUACCGCAUACUAUCAGAUGAGCCUAGGUCGGAUUAGCUAGUUGGUGGGGUAAAGGCCUACCAAGGCGACGAUCCGUAACUGGUCUGAGAGGAUGAUCAGUCACACGUGAACUGAGACACAGUCCAGACUCCUACGUGAGGCAGCAGUGGGGAAUAUUGGACAAUGGGGGGAACCCUGAUCCAGCCAUGCCGCGUGUGUGAAGAAGGCCUUAUGGUUGUAAAGCACUUUAAGCGAGGAGGCGUUACUCGCAGAAUAAGCACCGGCUAACUCUGUGCCAGCAGCCGCGGUAAUAC
rnacentral:rRNA from 1 species